rnacentral:rRNA from 1 species
AUUGGACGCUGGCGGCAUGCCUUACACAUGCAAGUCGAACGGUGACAGGUCUUCGGAUGCUGACGAGUGGCGAACGGGUGAGUAAUACAUCGGAACGUGCCUAGUAGUGGGGGAUAACUACUCGAAAGAGUGGCUAAUACCGCAUGAGAUCUACGGAUGAAAGCAGGGGAUCGCAAGACCUUGUGCUACCAGAGCGGCGGAUGGCAGAUUAGGGAGUUGGUGGGAUAAAAGCUUACCGAGCCGACGAUCUGUAGCUGGUCUGAGAGGACGAUCAGCCACACUGGGACUGAGACACGGCCCAGACUCCUACGGGAGGCAGCAGUGGGGAAUUUUGGACAAUGGGCGCAAGCCUGAUCCAGCAAUGCCGCGUGCAGGAUGAAGGCCUUCGGGUUGUAAACUGCUUUUGUACGGAACGAAAAGCCCUGGGUUAAUACCCUGGGGUCAUGACGGUACCGUAAGAAUAAGCACCGGCUAACUACGUGCCAGCAGCCGCCGUAA